UGGCGGACGGGGGAGUAACGCGUGGGUAACCUGCCUCAUACAGGGGGAUAACAGUUAGAAAUGACUGCUAAUACCGCAUAAGACCACGGAGCCGCAUGGCUCAGUGGGAAAAACUCCGGUGGUAUGAGAUGGACCCGCGUCUGAUUAGGUAGUUGGUGGGGCAACGGCCUACCAAGCCAACGAUCAGUAGCCGACCUGAGAGGGUGACCGGCCACAUUGGGACUGAGACACGGCCCAA
rnacentral:rRNA from 1 species